AAAGGCCUACUUGGUAUUUCCAGAAUGAAAUGCACAAUGCAAAUAAACCAAAAGGCGCUCUCUCAUUCUCAGAUAGUUCUACAGUACCCAAACCGAACUCAAGGAAGGGGAGAGAAAACUUGAGUUUGGUUCCGACGCAUUGGGCAAAGCUAACUCAUCCAGGAAUCUCUUGGGCAAACCAACAAUUUGGUUCCACUUGUUCCGCAAUCUGUUUUUCUAGUGAACUGUAACAAGUUCAACAGAUGCAUCCUUUCCCAUCUAACAAAAUAACUCAAAGAACAACACUGCAAUUUUGGCCACACUAGCCAUGAAUAUUCUGAUAAAGGCCGUAGGGGGUAAACCUUCAUCGAUAUUGUACAGAUGGCUCUGAAUCUCCGUAUAUCACCCUGUUCCUUUCGACCUUCAAAAUCUACACAAAGAGGAGAGGAGCAUUGGUUGGUAAGCAACAGGCAAGCCGUGGAAACCUAGGAACGAAGGAGGUCAGUUGUAUGGAACUUCGUCCCUCGUUUCAUGAACACGCAAUCAGUGCAAUGUAAGGCGCGCGCCGGCGGUGAGUACCUCCUAACUUCCUCUGCACGGAC
rnacentral:lncRNA from 1 species